rnacentral:sRNA from 1 species
GCUAGUGCUGCUGGGUCUGGAGAUGACUCUGAAGGACGAUGGACAGCACAUGUGGAGGCCCAAGAGGUUCCCCAGACCAGUCUACUGCAAUCUGUGCGAGUCAAGCAUUGGUCUUGGCAAACAGGGACUGAGCUGUAACCUCUGUAAGUACACUGUUCACGACCAGUGUGCCAUGAAAGCCCUGCCUUGUGAAGUCAGCACCUAUGCCAAGUCUCGGAAGGACAUUGGUGUGAGUGAUCUCAAGCCUCCGCCCCCAACAUCACCUACAUCCUGGCCCUGGCCCUUGGCCCAUUGCUGCCCUCAGCCCCUCCCUCCCCUAGGUCCUGCUCCGACCCUCCCAAACAAGGAACUGCCUUCCUCCCCAAGGUCCAAUCACAUGUGUGGGUGCGAGGAGGCUGUGAGUCCGGGCGCUGCGACCGCUGUCAGAAAAAGAUCCGGAUCUACCACAGUCUGACGGGGCUGCAUUGUGUAUGGUGCCACCUAGAGAUCCACGAUGACUGCCUGCAAGCGGUGGGCCAUGAGUGUGACUGUGGGCUGCUCCGGGAUCACAUCCUGCCUCCAUCUUCCAUCUAUCCCAGUGUCCUGGCCUCUGGACCGGAUCGUAAAAAUAGCAAAACAAGCCAGAAGACCAUGGAUGAUUUAAAUUUGAGCACCUCUGAGGCUCUGCGGAUUGACCCUGUUCCUAACACCCACCCACUUCUCGUCUUUGUCAAUCCUAAGAGUGGCGGGAAGCAGGGGCAGAGG